UUGUGCUUUGGUUUGGGGAUUAAUAGUAGUUACCUUUUUUUGUUGUUUAAUGUGGAGACACCACCUCUCAUUUUAUUAAUUUCAGAGACACUGCCCUUGAAAGUGUCAAGCAGCUGAUAAUGAGUUUAGAAAUAAAGCUUGACUCACUUACUGCUUAGCACCAUAAAGAGAAAGAGAAAUAGAGACUAUGCCUUUAAAAUGUAGAAGAAACAUGGAGAAUCAGAUACAAGACAAUGAAGGUCGAAAAUGAUGCAGCUGCUGCAGAAGAUAUGCAAAAGAAUUUGCAAGAUCUUAAACAGAGAUGUAGAAUAUUGAAGACAUUGAUUAAAGAAGAACCAUAAAAAUAUCAUACUCACUUCAUCAAUAUAUCAAGAAAGGGAUAGAAGCUGACGGAAAUCACGGAAUUGAGGAACCUUACAAGAAGGUUCAUGCUGCUAUUCGUGCAGAAUGAAAAAGUCUGGGAAGCAGCCACAAAGGAACACAAGAGAUAUAUGAUUUUGAUGUUUGUUACUAAUCUAUUGAUGAUAUGAAAAUUCAUUUGAAUUAGUGGCAGCAUAUGUGCCAUAUUUUCGUGAUUAUUAUAUAAUAAAUAUAUUUAUUUUAUUUUGUUUACUUGCUUA